UACGUAGGGCGCAAGCGUUUGUCCGGAAUUAUUGGGCGUAAAAGAGCUCGUAGGCGGCUUGUCGCGUCGUCCGUGAAAACUUGGGGCUCAACCCCAAGCUUGCGGUCGAUACGGCAGGCUAGAGUUCGGUGAGGGGAGACGUGGAAUUCCUGGUGUAGCGGUGAAAUGCGCAGAUAUCGGGAGGAACACCAAGGCGAAGGCAGCUCGCUGGGACGGUACUGACG
rnacentral:rRNA from 1 species